AGCUGGUGAUGAUACUGUAACCUUUCUGACACCUCUUCUGAGUUGCUCUAGCAGCACCUGAUUGGCAAUCACACAUCUGAAGCUC